rnacentral:rRNA from 1 species
UACGUAGGGUGCGAGCGUUGUCCGGAAUUAUUGGGCGUAAAGAGCUUGUAGGCGGUUUGUCUCGUCUGCUGUGAAAAUCCGGGGCUCAACCCCGGACUUGCAGUGGGUACGGGCAGACUAGAGUGUGGUAGGGGAGACUGGAAUUCCUGGUGUAGCGGUGAAAUGCGCAGAUAUCAGGAGGAACACCAAUGGCGAAGGCAGGUCUCUGGGCAGUUACUGACGCUGAGGAGCGAAAGCAUGGGUAGCGAACAGGAUUAGAUA